GACAGAGGAGGCAAGCGUUAUCCGGAAUUAUUGGGCGUAAAGCGUCCGUAGGUGGAUUGGCAAGUCUGGGGUUAAAGCCCGGAGCCUAAGUUCGGAUCGGCCCUGGAAACUGCCAGACUAAAGUAAGUGAGGGGUUGCGGGUAUUACCGGUGUAGCGGUGAAAUGCGUAGAUAUCGGGAAGAACACCAGUGGCGAAAGCGCGCAACUGGGCCAUUACUGACACUGAGGGACGAAAGCUAGGGGAGCGAAUGGG
rnacentral:rRNA from 1 species